CGGGGUGUGGCCUAGUCCGGUCCAAGGCGCAACUCUGGGGGAGUUGAGAUCGAGAGUUCAAAUCUCUCCACCCCGA
rfam:Chloroflexi bacterium RIFCSPLOWO2_12_FTLL_71_12 rifcsplowo2_12_scaffold_12784, whole genome shotgun sequence.